rnacentral:rRNA from 1 species
AGAGUUUGAUCCUGGCUCAGGAUGAACGCUGGCGGCGUGCUUAACACAUGCAAGUCGAACGAACCUUCGGGUUAGUGGCGGACGGGUGAGUAACGCGUGAGAAUCUGCCCUCAGAAGGGGGAUAACGGCUGGAAACGGCCGCUAAUACCCCAUAUGCCGAGAGGUGAAACGAGUUUUCGCCUGAGGAUGAGCUCGCGUCUGAUUAGCUAGUUGGUGGGGUAAGAGCCUACCAAGGCAUCGAUCAGUAGCUGGUCUGAGAGGAUGAUCAGCCACACUAGGACUGAGACACGGCCCAGACUCCUACGGGAGGCAGCAGUGGGGAAUUUUCCGCAAUGGGCGAAAGCCUGACGGAGCAACGCCGCGUGAGGGAUGAAGGCCUCUGGGCUGUAAACCUCUUUUAUCAAGGAAGAAGAUCUGACGGUACUUGAUGAAUAAGCCACGGCUAAUUCCGUGCCAGCAGCCGCGGUAAUACGGGAGUGGCAAGCGUUAUCCGGAAUUAUUGGGCGUAAAGCGUCCGCAGGCGGCCUGAUAAGUCUGUUGUCAAAGCGUGGAGCUCAACUCCAUUUCGGCAAUGGAAACUGUGAGGCUUGAGUGUGGUAGGGGCAGAGGGAAUUCCCGGUGUAGCGGUGAAAUGCGUAGAUAUCGGGAAGAACACCAGUGGCGAAGGCGCUCUGCUGGGCCAUAACUGACGCUCAUGGACGAAAGCCAGGGGAGCGAAAGGGAUUAGAUACCCCUGUAGUCCUGGCCGUAAACGAUGAACACUAGGUGUCGGGGGAAUCGACCCCCUCGGUGUCGUAGCCAACGCGUUAAGUGUUCCGCCUGGGGAGUACGCACGCAAGUGUGAAACUCAAAGGAAUUGACGGGGGCCCGCACAAGCGGUGGAGUAUGUGGUUUAAUUCGAUGCAACGCGAAGAACUUUACCAGGGUUUGACAUCCUGCGAAUCCCUUGGAAACGAGGGAGUGCCUUCGGGAGCGCAGAGACAGGUGGUGCAUGGCUGUCGUCAGCUCGUGUCGUGAGAUGUUGGGUUAAGUCCCGCAACGAGCGCAACCCACGUCUUUAGUUGCCAGCAUUGAGUUGGGCACUCUAGAGAGACCGCCGGUGAUAAACCGGAGGAAGGUGUGGAUGACGUCAAGUCAUCAUGCCCCUUACAUCCUGGGCUACACACGUACUACAAUGCUACGGACAAAGGGCAGCAAACUCGCGAGAGCUAGCAAAUCCCAUAAACCGUGGCUCAGUUCAGAUCGUAGGCUGCAACUCGCCUACGUGAAGGAGGAAUCGCUAGUAAUCGCAGGUCAGCAUACUGCGGUGAAUACGUUCCCGGGCCUUGUACACACCGCCCGUCACACCAUGGAAGUUGGCCACGCCCGAAGCCGUUACUCCAACCCUUGUGGAGGAGGACGUCGAAGGUGGGGCUGAUGACUGGGGUGAAGUCGAAACAAGGUA